GGGGGGAGGCCGGAUCCUGGACUGCGUCCCGGCGCCCUUUCCUCCUGGUCUGCGCUGUUGGAUUCGCGCUCCCGGGCCGCGCAACCCCCU
rnacentral:pre_miRNA from 1 species